rnacentral:rRNA from 1 species
AACGAACGCUGGCGGCAUGCCUAACACAUGCAAGUCGAACGAUUGCCUUCGGGUGAUAGUGGGGCACGGGUGCGUAAAGCGUGGGAAUAUGCCCUUAGGUUCGGCCUUACAGCUGGAAACGGCUGCUAAUACCGGAUGAUAUCGCGAGAUAAAAGCUUUAUCGCCUGAGGAUGAGCUCGCGUUGGAUUAGGUAGUUGGUGGGGUAAAGGCCUACCAAGCCGACGAUUCAUAGCUGGUCUGAGCGGCUGAUCAGCCACACUGGGACUGAGACACGGCCCAGACUCCGACGGAAGGCAGCAGUAGAGAAUAUUGUACAAUGAGCGCAAGCCUGGUCCAGCAGUGCCGCGUAAGAGAGGAAGGCCCUAGUGUUGUAAAGCUCUUUUACCCGAGAAGAUAAUGACGGUACCGGGAGAAGAAGCCCCGGCUAACUCCGUG